AGAGUUUGAUUCCUGGCUCAGAUUGAACGCUGGCGGCAUGCUUUACACAUGCAAGUCGAACGGUAACAGGUCUUCGGAUGCUGACGAGUGGCGAACGGGUGAGUAAUACAUCGGAACGUGCCUAGUAGUGGGGGAUAACUACUCGAAAGAGUAGCUAAUACCGCAUGAGAUCUACGGAUGAAAGCAGGGGACCUUCGGGCCUUGUGCUACUAGAGCGGCUGAUGGCAGAUUAGGUAGUUGGUGGGGUAAAGGCUUACCAAGCCUGCGAUCUGUAGCUGGUCUGAGAGGACGACCAGCCACACUGGGACUGAGACACGGCCCAGACUCCUACGGGAGGCAGCAGUGGGGAAUUUUGGACAAUGGGCGAAAGCCUGAUCCAGCAAUGCCGCGUGCAGGAUGAAGGCCCUCGGGUUGUAAACUGCUUUUGUACGGAACGAAAAGCCUGGGGCUAAUAUCCCCGGGUCAUGACGGUACCGUAAGAAUAAGCACCGGCUAACUACGUGCCAGCAGCCGCGGUAAUACGUAGGGUGCAAGCGUUAAUCGGAAUUACUGGGCGUAAAGCGUGCGUAGGCGGUUUUGUAAGACAGUGGUGAAAUCCCCGGGCUCAACCUGGGAACUGCCAUUGUGACUGCAAAGCUAGAGUGCGGCAAAGGGGGAUGGAAUUCCGCGUGUAGCAGUGAAAUGCGUAGAUAUGCGGAGGAACACCGAUGGCGAAGGCAAUCCCCUGGGCCUGCACUGACGCUCAUGCACGAAAGCGUGGGGAGCAAACAGGAUUAGAUACCCUGGUAGUCCACGCCCUAACGAUGUCAGCUGGGUUGUUGGGUCUUAACUGACUCAGUAACGAAGCUAACGCGUGAAGUUGACCGCCUGGGGAGUACGGCCGCAAGGUUGAACUCAAGGAAUUGACGGGACCCGCACAAGCGGUGGAUGAUGUGGUUUAAUUCGAUGCAACGCGAAACUUACCCACCUUUGACAUGGCAGACUACAGAGAUGGUUUGGGCUCGGAAGGAGACUGCAACAGGUGCUGCAUGCUGUCGUCAGGCUCGUGUUCUGUGGAGU
rnacentral:rRNA from 1 species